UGGGGAAUAUUGCACAAUGGGCGCAAGCCUGAUGCAGCCAUGCCGCGUGUGUGAAGAAGGCCUUCGGGUUGUAAAGCACUUUCAGCGGGGAGGAAGGCGAUAAGGUUAAUAACCUUGUCGAUUGACGUUACCCGCAGAAGAAGCACCGGCUAACUCCGUGCCAGCAGCCGCGGUAAUACGGAGGGUGCAAGCGUUAAUCGGAAUUACUGGGCGUAAAGCGCACGCAGGCGGUCUGUCAAGUCGGAUGUGAAAUCCCCGGGCUCAACCUGGGAACUGCAUUCGAAACUGGCAAGGUAGAGUCCUGUAAGGGGGGGUAGGAAUCCAGGGGGAGCGGUGAAAUGCGUAGGGAUCUUGGGGGAUACCGGUGGCGAAAGCGGCCCCCUGGACAAAGACUGACGCUCAGGUGCGAAAGCGUGGGGAGCAAACAGG
rnacentral:rRNA from 1 species